CGUCCAGGUCUGGCUGUGAGAGGCCACACUCAGCACCAUGCCCUCCAGGAAGGGACCUUUUUAGGCAGAGGACAAAGGGUGGAGCACAGAAAGGGAAGGAGGGCACAGAGUUCUUUUGCAAGCUAUGCCUUUGUGCCCCACUCCCCACCCUUCCCUCUUCUGCAAGCUCAUAGAUUAGAGUCCACCUCCGAAGCCCGGUAUCAGGAAGAAGAUUCUACGGGGUGGGUUUGUCUGGCCUAAUUCACCACGUCCCCCUGGCUCCUUGGUCUUGUCACCAUGGAAACCUUGUGAGGUCACCAGUAUCAUUAAAAUGGGAGGGAAAAAGUGUUUCUCCCUCUCCCAAAGAGAGCACCCGCUUGGCUCUGGUGGCUUCCGUGUCAGAGUGAGGAGGACAACAUGCAGGGUGAGGGGAGAGAUUGUGCCCCAUCCUCAGGGAUGGAUUAACCCCUUGAUACCCAGCAUGUUGGCUGCUCAGACACAAGCCUUCUGUAUCCCUGAACAUUUUCAGGCAUCCUUGCCCAGAAAGAAAGAAUCCCGCAUCUUUGCACACGUGUCAAAGCAGGCUCCAUGCUACCCCCGGAGAAGUGAGAAAGGGCUCUUCCCAGGCAACACUACCAGUAAAAGUUUCUCUUGAAGAGUUAACUCAGGAUGAAAAUGAAAAGAAGGCUCAACCCAUAGCGGCGCUGUAGAAGGAAACUGGUGCCGGGUAGGAAGGCAGGGCUGGGAAAAAACUCGAAGGCGCAUCAGCAGGGAGUCAGCCAUCCUCGGCACGGGCCAGACACCGAUUGGGAGCACCGGGGCACAGCGUAGCCUCUGCCGUGGAGGCUCGAGUCUCUGCCAAUGAUCGGGCAGCGAGGACAAGGUCACCUUAAAGCUAUUUUGUUUCAUAAAGAUGUAAGACAAAUAAGCAUUGUAGAGAUUCCAUAUUCACGAAACAUGGCUUGAGAAGUCACUACAGCAGACUCUGCUGGACAUCGAGGACACGGAGGUAUCUGCUCUCCAGCAGCUCAUGGUCCGGUGGGGGAGGGUCGGACUCACAGUGACAGUGUAGUGUGGCAAGUGCCGCACGUGCAGCGGACAAGGGCUCUGUGGUGGUGCAGAGGAGGGACCUCACGCAUGGCGAGAAUAUGUCAGGAGGUUCCGGCGGUUGGUCUCCAGGAGAAGAAGAAGGCAGGCAUUCCACCCAAAGAGGAGAGCAGGUGUAUUGGCUAGUGUGUUGAAGAGCUGCGAGUAGCUCCUCCUGGCAGAAGCAAUGGGAGCAAGAGGCCACAGAGAGGAGGUUGCGGAGACAGACAAGGGCCAGCUCCUGAAAAGAGCAGAAUGCCAAACUAAGGACACCGGAUUUUCCUUGUAGGAAUGGGGAAGCCAUGGAGGGUCAUAAACAAGUAGAUCAGAAAGCUGAUGUCAGAUGGGGCGCCUGCGUGGCUCGGUCUGUUCAGCUUCCGACUUCAACUCAGGUCAUGAUCUCGUGAUCUGUGAGUUCGAGCCCCCACGUCAGGCUCUGUGCUGACAGCUCAGAGCCUGGAGCCUGCUUCGGAUUCUGUGUCUCCCUCUCUCUCUGCCCCUCCCCUGCUUGUGCUCUGUCUCUCUCGCAAAAAUAAACAAACAUUAAAAAAAAAAGGGGGGGGCUGAUUCCAGCAACAGUGGACUCCACAGAAUAAAUCUGAAGGUUGGCAGAUCCAUUAGUUGGCCAUCAGCUAAUGCAGGGGCCAGUGGGUCCAAGACAGGGCCUGGUCAUCAGUAGAGAGAAGAAACCUGUCUACACAAUUUUAAGAGGGUGGAAUGAACAGCACUUAGUGCCCAGUUGGAUAUGGGAAAGCAAGAGUCUAAGAUGAUCACAAGUUUCCAGCUUAUGUGGAAGGCUGGAGGGUGGCGCCGUCGACCGAGAUGGGGGAGAUAAGAGGGGAUACAUUUGGGGGUGGGAAAGACAAUGGGUUCUGGCUUGGGCACACUGAGUUAAGGUGCCUGCAUGACAUCCUCAUGGAAAUGUCUAGCAGGCAGGUGGCAAUACGGUCUGAAGUUUUGGAAUAGUCUCUUCUGGAAAUAGCAAAUUGGAAGUCAAGAACCUUUAGGGAGUGUGGAAGACUGCCCUGGGGGAAAGUGUACAGAGUGAGAAGAGAGUCCUAGUGAGGAUCCCCACGGAUCACCAACAUCCCAGGGACCAGAGGAAGAAGAAUCCUUGAAGCCAACUCAGAAGCAGCACUCAGAGAGGUAGGAAGAGAACCAGGAGAAAAUGAGCUAUGAUGCUAUAGAGUAGAGGGUGCCCCAGUUAUCAGGGUCGGGACCACAAAACGAUCACCUUGGACAGGGGACAAAGAGGGUCUGCUGGUCUUAGCAAGCACAAGGUCUUGCUCAGUGAGGGUGAUUUCAACAAUGCAAUGACAGCUGAAACCAGGCUGUGAAGUUUAAGGAAUGAUCGGAAGUGAGGAAGAAGAGGCAACCAGUGUACAAAAAUCUUUGGAAAACCUUGCCUUGGCUGGGGAGAUUACAGCGAGCAGGAAGGUGACAGAAAUGUCCCCAGACAUAGCUUCCUCGAUAGGAGCCCCACCGCUGUCCAGCUGCAGAAAAACACAUGUCGUCGCCUCCUCAUUCCGAAAUGGCCUUUCCUAGGAGAUCAGAUAUAGACACUCCUUUACCUGGGGAUUUUCUCAUGGGAAGUUUGCCUAUAAUAUUAUCCAUCGAUCCCACCUUUGUGUUCAGAAAUUUCCCUAGGCUGCAAAUAUUGACAACAAUAUUUAUGAACACUUACUAAGCCCUGUGCUGAACAUGUUACAUGGCGUUAGCCCUCAAGAUAACUACCAAGAUACUUGGUAUCUUGAUAUCUACCAAGAAAGAAGGGAAACUGAGGCUUGGGAAGAUUUAGCAAGUCACGUGAUUAACAGAAAAGCCAGCAUGUGGGCCUUCCAACUCCACUGCCAAAGUGAGAGCUUCUCUAUUAUCUAUUUUCUCUGAACGUGCUCUCUCUGGCUCUGGCUCUGCCUCCCUGGUGCCAGGACCCACUCUUUUUGAGAAUUCAGCCUGCAGACUGAAUCCUGGUUUCCUCCUGACCUGCAUGCCAGUCUCAGUCCUAUGCUAUCAGUCACAAUGGAUUGCAGGCUAA